rnacentral:lncRNA from 12 species
CUCUUACAGUUGCUGCUGCCUAGAUUUCUCUUUUGAAGCCCUUAUUUAAUGCUUAGUGCAUGUGGAAAUCUGCCAUUGUGCUUCUCCUGGUUUAGUACAGGAGGUAAAACCUUUUGCUCAGGCACGGAUAGAAGAGUGUCUGGAGCGUGCAUUGCCUCAGCCAGAUGGUUUUUGCAGAACCUGAGCUUUCACUUUUACAGGGUCCAAAAAUUUUCUUUCUAAAACAAACAUGCUGCUGUGGGCUGGCUACAGUAAUGCUCUCCUAAGAUGGCAGUCCAGAACUUUCUAAACCCACAGCAUCAUUACAGCUAUGGACGAGUGUGUUAAAUUUUCUACCAGCAAACAAUGAGUUAGGAUUCUACUGGAUAGAACAGGACCACUUGAAUUUCAUUUCUCUUUUUGCCCAGAAAUGUAAACAGCAAAGGAAAUGGGCUGACUGGGGCUGUUGCUCUACCUACAAGGUCAGGCAGUGAUAAGACCUUGUCAGCAGCCUGGGAAGUAGCAGAUGGGUAAAGAAGUGAGCCUCUCUGGAGCAUUUCUCCCUAACAGAUUAGCAGCUGCCGUAGCAUCGUUUCCUACUAAUUGAAUAGUCUGGGCCUGGGUUAGAAAGUGAUAUGGGAUUAGUGUGUUGUUGAUUAACACCUGCAGCUGGUGGAACCUGUGCCCUCUGCUCUCCCAUCAGUUGUCUCGGCUGUCACACCUGUCCUGAGGAAAGCCCUGUGGAAGGAGCUCUGCGCUGGGAUUCAGGACGCCGGAGCGUCUCACGAGGCCUCUGAGAAACUGCAAAUUCUAUCUAAGUUGUUGCCACCUUUGGAAAGCAAAGAGCUGCACAAUCUAAUGGACCAGCUUCCUGCUGCUCUGGAGAAGGCAGGGAAUGGAGAGAGUUGGGCUGUGGCAGAUGCUGUAUCCAGAGUGCUUAAAAACUCAGAGGAGCUGCUUUCCUGGAGGAGACAUCUCUUGUCAGCCUGCAUGAAGGGGUUAGUUGCCAUGUAUAGCAGCAGUAGAGAUGAAAGCAAGCAAGAAGUGGAGAGGUCCAUGCUGCUGAGGCUGGAGGAAUUAUUGGUCAGACUUCUUAUCUGCUUUGCCACAGUGGGACUGUAUGCAUAUGUGUGAUUGGGCAGUUGCAGAUUUUGUAUAUAUAGAUUGGGCCUGAUUUCCUGUUUUAGGGAAGGUGGUCUCCACGGGCUUUUAAUAGCUUUUACAGAGUUAACUUAGUCCUGAGAAUCCUUUUAUAUGAAGCAGUUUUAUGUUCUUGAUGAUGGCUUUCCUGUAAGAAUCCCAUUUGAAGACAGGAGUUUGGGCUAUUUAGGGGUAAAAAGUCAAAGGUUGCCAGUGGAUUUUAUUAUUUUUUUGAUUUAAAAAUGCUGAUAGAGAUAGCUAUGCUAAGACCCAUCUGCCAUGCCAUCUGAAGUCUGGGGUAAAAAUCUGGUUGAUCAUAAAUAGAAAUCAAGACUUUGAUCUUGAAGAACAGUACUUGAUUCCUCCCUCUGUACUGUGUCUUUGGUUUAUUAUAAUUGGUAUAAAAUACUCUAAGGCAGAUGGCACGUUCAUGUAAACCAGAAUGUAACAAAAGAAGGAAUCCAAUGCAGUCCUCUUGGCACUUUGUUUUCCUACUAAACCCUUAUGACAGUUCUCCUUCUGACACAUUUCAUUGUUUAGUGUACAAACUCAUUAUUUCCAUUGUAAUCUUGCUGGAUUUUGGCACAGGUAUAGAAAAGGCUUGUGCUCAAGCCAAGCAGUAAAUAACUGAACUAGGAAUCUUGAGAACUGAUGUCAAUAAUUUCAUGGCCAUUUCAAAGCUCUUUAUGUUGAACCUAAACAUGAGAUCUCCAUUCUUUUAUUAGCUCUCCUGAGAGAGAGAGAGGAUUGUUAACAUUCAUCUUCCUCUGGUCUGAUUUGGUUUCAGAGACUCCAUGGGAACCAGCCAGAUUAGAAUAAUAAAAUAAUAGUAAAUUGCUUAUGGCAAAAAUUGUAUAUAAG